rnacentral:rRNA from 1 species
CCAGACUCCUACGGGAGGCAGCAGUGGGGAAUAUUGGGCAAUGGGCGCAAGCCUGACCCAGCAACGCCGCGUGAAGGAAGAAGGCUCUCGGGUUGUAAACUUCUUUUAUCAGGGACGAAGCAAGUGACGGUACCUGAUGAAUAAGCCACGGCUAACUACGUGCCAGCAGCCGCGGUAAUACGUAGGUGGCAAGCGUUAUCCGGAUUUACUGGGUGUAAAGGGCGUGUAGGCGGGAAAGCAAGUCAGAUGUGAAAACCACGGGCUCAACCUGUGGCCUGCAUUUGAAACUGUAGUUCCUGAGUACUGGAGAGGCAGACGGAAUUCCUAGUGUAGCGGUGAAAUGCGUAGAUAUUAGGAGGAACACCAGUGGCGAAGGCGGUCUGCUGGACCGUGACUGACGUUGAGGCUCGAGAGCGUGGGGAGCAAACAGGAUUAGAUACCCCGGUAGC